AGAGGUAUACAUAGAUGUCACCUUGCUGUACCACUUUACUACAGCUGCCCUUAGAAUGGAAAUAUGGUAAUCUUUUUUGCACCAACAACUCUACACACAAGCAUUUUAAGAGACAGUGUAAGUCUUGGAAGGAAUUACCACGCAAAGGUUGCAGUACUUAUCUUGAUCAGUUUUAGAGAAGCCAGCCAAUCUUGAAGAUAUGUAGUUGAAGACUGAAUCCUGAUUUCCUCCAGUACAACAAGAAAUGUGCCAAAGAAGACAAGUCCAUCAACGUUCCAAGCAGCUGAAGACUGAACGCUACACCAUCUGUUUGAUUAAAUAAAACUACACGUUAACAUGUUUUGAUGGAGUUCAGAUUAAGUGACAAUGCUGAUUGAUGCUCCCAGAAACUGCUUAUACAACUGUCUCCUAAUACUGUAUAUCACCUACACAAUAAGUAAUGGAUCAAUUCACAACAUUUAUCCUACUCCUCAGUGCCUCCAACAAAGCCUCAAUGGGGGAUUAAUCAGACUUUCUAUCUAACUGUUCUGCCAUUUUUUGCCAGACAAAUGAGACAAUCUCAAUUAAAAUAAUGCUCUGUCCAGCACAUCUAUACAUUAAUUAAUGUGCUGUAAUUAUUGCAGAUUAAGCUUAGUACCUGUAAUGACAGGUACUAACUUAACUCACUGAAAUCAGUGCAGAUG